rnacentral:rRNA from 1 species
AGCAGCCGCGGUAAUUCCAGCUCCAAUAGCGUAUAUUAAAGUUGUUGCAGUUAAAAAGCUCGUAGUUGAAUUUCGGGGUUAGUAGGUUGGUCAUGCCUCUGGUAUGUACUGGUCUCACUGAUUCCUCCUUCCUGAUGAGCCGUAAUGCCAUUAAUUUGGUGUUGCGGGGAAUUUGGACUGUUACUUUGAAAAAAUUAGAGUGUUUAAAGCAAGCUAACGCUUGAAUACAUUAGCAUGGAAUAAUGAAAUAGGACGUUCGAUCCUAUUUUGUUGGUUUCUAGGAUUGACGUAAUGAUUAAUAGGGAUAGUUGGGGGCAUUAGUAUUCAAUUGUCAGAGGUGAAAUUCUUGGAUUUAUUGAAGACUAACUACUGCGAAAGCAUUUGCCAAGGAUGUUUUCAUUAAUCAAGAACGAAAGUUAGGGGAUCGAAGACGAUCAGAUACCGUCGUAGUCUUAACCAUAAAACUAUGCCGACUAGGGAUCGGAUGAUGUUAAUUUUUAAUGACUCA